UACGUAGGUGGCAAGCGUUGUCCGGAUUUACUGGGGGUAAAGGAUGCGUAGGCGGACAUUUAAGUCAGAUGUGAAAUACCCGAGCUUAACUUGGGUGCUGCAUUUGAAACUGGGUGUCUAGAGUGCAGGAGAGGUAAGUGGAAUUCCUAGUGUAGCGGUGAAAUGCGUAGAGAUUAGGAAGAACACCAGUGGCGAAGGCGACUUACUGGACUGUAACUGACGCUGAGGCAUGAAAGCGUGGGGAGCAAACAGG
rnacentral:rRNA from 1 species